AGCGGGGUAGAGAAAUUGGUCGACUCAUCAGGCCCAUGACCUGAAGACUGCAGGUUCGAAUCCUGUCCCCGCCU
rnacentral:tRNA from 1 species